rnacentral:rRNA from 1 species
UACGUAGGGUGCGAGCGUUGUCCGGAAUUACUGGGCGUAAAGAGCUCGUAGGUGGUUUGUCGCGUUGUUCGUGAAAACUCACAGCUUAACUGUGGGCGUGCGGGCGAUACGGGCAGACUGGAGUACUGCAGGGGAGACUGGAAUUCCUGGUGUAGCGGUGGAAUGCGCAGAUAUCAGGAGGAACACCGGUGGCGAAGGCGGGUCUCUGGGCAGUAACUGACCGCUGAGGAGCGAAAGCGUGGGGAGCGAACAGG